AGAGUUUGAUCCUGGCUCAGAACGAACGCUGGCGGAGUGCUUAAUACAUGCAAGUCGAGCGAGAAAGUCCUGCUUGCAGGACGAGUAGAGCGGCGAAUGGGUGAGUAACACGUAAGAAAUCUACCUCCAAAUUUGGGAUAACCUUGCCAACGCGGGGCUAAUACCGGAUGUGGUCAUUUUAACUCAUGUUAGUUUGAUUAAAGGGGGCAUCCCUCGGGGUGUUUUUGUUUGGAGAUGAUCUUGCGGACCAUUAGCUUGUUGGCGGGGUAACGGCCCACCAAGGCGACGAUGGUUAGCCGGCCUGAGAGGGUGAUCGGCCACAUUGGGAUUGAGAUACGGCCCAGACUCCUACGGGAGGCAGCAGUAGGGAAUUUUGCGCAAUGGCCGAAAGGUUGACGCAGCAACUCCGCGUGAGCGAUGAAGGUUUUCGGAUCGUAAAGCUCUGUUGAGUGGGACGAAAAACUCAGGGUAACGCCUGAACUUGACGGUACCAUUCGAGGAAGCCCCGGCUAAAUACGUGCCAGCAGCCGCGGUAAUACGUAUGGGGCAAGCGUUGUUCGGAAUCACUGGGCGUAAAGAGAGUGUAGGCGGAAAAUCAAGUUAGAAGUUUAAUCUCCGGGCUUAACCCGGAUCCUGCUUCUAAUACUGUUUUUCUUGAGUCUUGGAGAGGGAGAUGGAAUUCCAGGUGUAGCGGUGGAAUGCGUAGAUAUCUGGAAGAACACCAGUUGCGAAGGCGGUCUCCUGGACAAGUACUGACGCUGAGACUCGAAAGCGUGGGGAGCGAACAGGAUUAGAUACCCUGGUAGUCCACGCCGUAAACGAUGGAUACUAGAUGCCGGGAGGCUUGUCCUUUCGGUGUCGUAGCUAACGCAUUAAGUAUCCCGCCUGGGGAGUACGCUCGCAAGAGUGAAACUCAAAGGAAUUGACGGGGGCCCGCACAAGCGGUGGAGCAUGCGCUUUAAUUCGAUGCAACGCGAAGAACCUUACCUGGUCUUGACAUGGGAGAGAAAGGUUUCAGAGAUGAAACCCCCUUCUUCGGAAGCUCUCUACACAGGUGCUGCAUGGUUGUCGUCAGCUCGUGUCGUGAGAUGUUGGGUUAAGUCCCGCAACGAGCGCAACCCUCGCCCUUAGUUGCCAUCAGGUAAUGCUGGGAACUCUAGGGGGACUGCCCGUUACAAACGGGAGGAAGGUGGGGAUGACGUCAAGUCAUCAUGGCCCUUACGACCAGGGCUAGACGCGUGCUACAAUGGUAGAUACAAAGGGAUGCUAAAUCGCGAGAUUGAGCUAAUCCGAUAAAAUCUAUCUCAGUUCGGAUAGGAGUCUGCAAUUCGACUCCUUGAAGUUGGAAUCGCUAGUAAUCGUGGAUCAGCAUGCCACGGUGAAUAUGUUCCCGGGCCUUGUACACACCGCCCGUCAACCCACGAAAGAUGGCAGUACCCGAAGUCGUUUUUCCAACCCGCAAGGGAGGAUCACGCCGAAGGUAAGGCUGUUAAUUGGGGCUAAGUCGUAACAAGGUA
rnacentral:rRNA from 1 species